GAGUGACGUCACUGUUUAUGGUGGUCUGAACACUAUCUGGCCAUGGGUUUGUACACGAGGCGUUGGUGUAGUGAUGUCGACCCUAUAACUGUAGCCUACAGAUUGGGCAACACUACAGUCCAGAAACGCUACUUUCCCUAUGCACAUUGAACUGCCGAGGAGCAUUGUAGAUCGAGCGCUGUUGCUAGAAGAAUGGGCAACACUACAUUCCAGAAAGAUAGUUUCUUUAUGCACAUCGAACUGCAGAGGAGCAUUUUAGAGCAUUGUAGCUAUAGAAGGUAAGAAAGGCAAUUGUAAAGGUUGCUUGCCUUCUAAUUUUGUGUGCUUUCUGAUAGUCUAACAUAUGAUUGUAACUGCAAUCAGAGCUUAAUUGAUUGGGUCAAAACAAGUAGGAGUGGAUACAUCAGCAUAGAUUAGCACGUGCACAUAGUGCAGUACAUGAAUUUGACACUCGAUUAUUACAAUGAUAAGUGGAGAGAGCGACCAUCCUGACAUAUACAACCGCCCGACAUAUGUUUGAAAUUGGUGAGUCAAGAUCGAUUCUACCUGGAGCACACUGGUCUUGAAGAGAGACAAACCACUUUGGAGAGUUUGAUAACUAACAGUGCAGAAUUUGGUGCCAGACUUACGGAGGAGUAUCCAAAGCUAGCAGAAGGUGGUAGCCUCAAGCUACUCAGAGUCGUGUGUGUCAGCUGAUAGAAUCACCUGUUGAUGGGUAGACUUCAUUGUUGGUGUGAGCAGAGUGGUUGGUUUAGCCAGGGUCUUUAUAUGGCCAAUCUCUAGAUCACUGAUCCUUUCGCCACCUAGAACUAGAGUGAACCAACAGGAGCAACCACAGGAGAUCGAAAUGAAAACUGCAGUCAUGUCAAUCAGGGAUUAGAAGCCAGAAGAUUUACAGACCAUAAGAUGGAAUGUGAAUCAUUUGUCAAGUCAUGAGAGCUUUGUGACACUGAUCUGUCUUUCCAGUCUGCUGUAGGAUUAGCAUGUUCAGUAAGCUGCUCGGACAAUAAAGGAUUUUGGGAAAGAAGUCUCACUGAUAUGUCAAAAAUACGUUGAAUGGUACUGAUUGUAAUCUAGAUAUGUGGCUCAAUCAGUUUGGUCAAAAUACUGCAACCUGCAAGAGCACCAGAAACAAGCCUAGCUUCAGUGAUACCAGUAUUGCUGCAUGUCAACAGAAAGUCAUGUUAUGUAUGAAGGAUUUCGGCGGAACCAAGUUGCAAAUACCACUAGGAGAUCAACUUUUGGGCUAAACAAUCAUAACAAUCCAGACACAAUAAUUAUUAAAUGUCGUAAGGGAUUUUAUAUGUUCUACUGCUGGUGGUUGUUCUUUUUAUCUAGUGGUUGUUCUUACAAAGAAUGCUUUGGUUGUAUCUUGCUAAUUUCUAUUAAAUAUUGUAAGGGUGUCUUCUAUUACAAAGACACAGAAGCGUGAACUCACUUUGUCUCAAUUUUUGUAUUGGUUUGCUGAGGAGUUUGAUGAUUCAAACUAUCGGUUCUG